GUCAGUGGCUACCGUCAACUGUUUAGUUCCCAACCUCCUUCAAAAUAUCCUUAAAAUAUAUUUUGAAGAAUGUUAGUAACCAAAAUAUCUUAUUUUGAAGAAUAUUGGUAACCAAACAGUUGAUGGUAGCCAUCAUCUUCCAUAGCAUUUUUUUUCAUACUAUGGAAGUCAAUGGCUACCGUCAACCCCAAAGUAUCUUCUAAUGACAGAACUGUCAUUUUUGGGUGAACUGUAUCUUUUAAGAAUUGACUGUGAACCCAACGCUUACCAAAUGACCUCGGCCAAAUUUCACCGGCGAUUUCACAAAGAUAUUCAGGGCCAGCUGAAGGUUCGGUGUCCCGAGCGUUUGUGCCAUUUCUCUGCUCUCUGUACCCAUGAUGCACUGCAGCGGUCGCUUCGACUUCCUCUCAAACCCAGCUCAGAGCUUUAAGUUCUCUAUUCUGGUGCCAUAUAUCAUGAGUUUAAAAGAAGAUCCGUCUUUGACAACUUUUUGAUUGAGUUUUGUACUUAUUUGUUUAUUUAGUGCUCCGUCGGUCUCUCUUUGCUUUCGGUUGCGAUGUCGUAGCAUUAGAAACGUUGCGACGCCCAAUUCUGGCACGACGAAAUCCCAAAGUGCCAAAGUAGCGCGUUUCCCAGCCAUCGCUUGGCCAAUCACGGGCCCGCUCUGCAUCUCGAUACUUUCAGGAAACGGCGUUCUCUUCAGGUUAACCGGGAAAGUUCGGAUUGGGGAGUUUCCGACGAUGUAGCAAGCAAUAUCUCCAGCAAUAGUCCGUAGACCGACCUUUGGGCAUUGAGAUCCACUUCAGGCCAGCUCCGAUCGCGUGCUCGAAGGCCUUCGUGGCGUUUCGAUGAACUGACCUCGUUUCGUUUGAAAUAACGUACGAUAUGUAGCCAAAUUCCUUCGGCCAGAGGAAAACCAAAGGCUUUGACAUUAGCUGAUUGUAUUUACAGAUGUCUAGAAAAGUGUUGCCACACUGUAUCGUCUCAGUUUGUGAUCUUGUCCAGUCGUCGGAUCAAAGGAAAGGCUUUCGGUUUGUUUUAUGCAUCAUAUUGUGGGUGAUUUAUGCAAUACAUUCUCACGCUUCAUUAUGCACUAAAGACAGUCCAGUGUUUCGUCACCGCCGCCGUUGUGCCAGUUACACCUGAGUUACAGCCUUCUAACACUUCUGUAUCUCAUGAAACUUGUGAAGAAACAUAUUUCACACCAGAAACAAAACAGAGAGAGAGAGAGAGAAAAAAAUAUAUAUUUUGUAUAUUUUUAAGAUAACUAAGUCUAUCUCUCUCUUUCUCUAUAUAUAUAUUGGUUUUUUAUUUUUGUUUUUAUUUGAAUUUUUUUUUUCACUUUUAUCUGUUUUUAUAUUUUAGUAUUUUAUUUU
ensembl:lncRNA